ACCCCGAUUUGGACCAACUUGAAAACUGGGCCAAUAAUAAAAAAUCUAAGUACAUUUUUAGAUUCAGCAUAUCAAAGAACCCCAAGGAUUCAAUUUUUGUUAAAAUCAAACUAAGUUUAAUUUUGGACCCUUUGGGCCCUUUAUUCCUAAACUGUUGGGACCAAAACUCCCAAAAUCAAUACCAACCUUCCUUUUCUUGUCAUAAACAUUGUGUUCAAAUUUCAUUGAUUUCUAUUUACUUAAACUAAAGUUAUUGUGCGAAAACCAAGAAUAAUGCUUAUUUGGGCCCUUUUUUGGCCCCUAAUUCCUAAACUGUUGGAACCAAAACUCUCAAAAUCAAUCCCAACCUUUCUUUUGUGGUCAUAAACCUUGUGUCAAAAUUUCAUAGAUUUCUAUUAACUUAAACUAAAGUUAUAGUGCGAAAACCAAGAAAAUG
rnacentral:lncRNA from 1 species